rnacentral:rRNA from 1 species
UACGGAGGGCGCAAGCGUUAUCCGGAUUCACUGGGUUUAAAGGGUGCGUAGGCGGGCAGGUAAGUCAGUGGUGAAAUCUCCGAGCUUAACUCGGAAACUGCCAUUGAUACUAUUUGUCUUGAAUAUUGUGGAGGUAAGCGGAAUAUGUCAUGUAACGGUGAAAUGCUUAGAUAUGACAUAGAACACCAAUUGCGAAGGCAGCUUACUAAACAAUGAUUGACGCUGAGGCACGAAAGCGUGGGGAUCAAACAGG